GUGGGGAAUUUUGGACAAUGGGCGCAAGCCUGAUCCAGCCAUGCCGCGUGCAGGAUGAAGGCCUUCGGGUUGUAAACUGCUUUUGUACGGAACGAAACGGCUCUUUCUAAUAAAGAGGGCUAAUGACGGUACCGUAAGAAUAAGCACCGGCUAACUACGUGCCAGCAGCCGCGGUAAUACGUAGGGUGCGAGCGUUAAUCGGAAUUACUGGGCGUAAAGCGUGCGCAGGCGGUGAUGUAAGACAGAUGUGAAAUCCGCGGGCUCAACCUGGGAACUGCAUUUGUGACUGCAUCGCUAGAGUGCGGCAGAGGGGGAUGGAAUUCCGCGUGUAGCAGUGAAAUGCGUAGAUAUGCGGAGGAACACCGAUGGCGAAGGCAAUCCCCUGGGCCUGCACUGACGCUCAUGCACGAAAGCGUGGGGCGCAAACAGGAUUAGAAACCCGAGUAGUCC
rnacentral:rRNA from 1 species